GAUGAACGCUGGCGGCGUGCCUAAUACAUGCAAGUCGAGCGAACAGACGAGGAGCUUGCUCCUCUGACGUUAGCGGCGGACGGGUGAGUAACACGUGGAUAACCUACCUAUAAGACUGGGAUAACUUCGGGAAACCGGAGCUAAUACCGGAUAAUAUUUUGAACCGCAUGGUUCAAUAGUGAAAGACGGUCUUGCUGUCACUUAUAGAUGGAUCCGCGCUGCAUUAGCUAGUUGGUAAGGUAACGGCUUACCAAGGCAACGAUGCAUAGCCGACCUGAGAGGGUGAUCGGGCACACUGGAAGUGAGACACGGUCCAGACUCCUACGGGAGGCAGCAGUAGGGAAUCUUCCGCAAUGGGCGAAAGCCUGACGGAGCAACGCCGCGUGAGUGAUGAAGGUCUUCGGAUCGUAAAACUCUGUUAUUAGGGAAGAACAAAUGUGUAAGUAACUGUGCACAUCUUGACGGUACCUAAUCAGAAAGCCACGGCUAACUACGUG
rnacentral:rRNA from 1 species